rnacentral:rRNA from 1 species
GGAGGAAAGCUGGCGGCGUGCCUAAUACAUGCAAGUCGAGCGAACGGACGAGAAGCUUGCUUCUCUGAUGUUAGCGGCGGACGGGUGAGUAACACGUGGAUAACCUACCUAUAAGACUGGGAUAACUUCGGGAAACCGGAGCUAAUACCGGAUAAUAUUUUGAACCGCAUGGUUCAAAAGUGAAAGACGGUCUUGCUGUCACUUAUAGAUGGAUCCGCGCUGCAUUAGCUAGUUGGUAAGGUAACGGCUUACCAAGGCAACGAUGCAUAGCCGACCUGAGAGGGUGAUCGGCCACACUGGAACUGAGACACGGUCCAGACUCCUACGGGAGGCAGCAGUAGGGAAUCUUCCGCAAUGGGCGAAAGCCUGACGGAGCAACGCCGCGUGAGUGAUGAAGGUCUUCGGAUCGUAAAACUCUGUAUUAGGGAAGAACAUAUGUGUAAGUAACUGUGCACAUCUUGACGGUACCUAAUCAGAAAGCCACGGCUAACUACGUG